AUUGAACGCUGGCGGCAUGCCUUACACAUGCAAGUCGAACGGUAACAGGUCUUCGGAUGCUGACGAGUGGUGAACGGGUGAGUAAUACAUCGGAACGUGCCUAGUAGUGGGGGAUAACUACUCGAAAGAGUGGCUAAUACCGCAUGAGAUCUACGGAUGAAAGCAGGGGAUCGCAAGACCUUGUGCUACUAGAGCGGCCGAUGGCAGGUUAGGUAGUUGGUGGGAUAAAAGCUUACCAAGCCGACGAUCUGUAGCUGGUCCGAGAGGACGAUCAGCCACACUGGGACUGAGACACGGCCCAGACUCCUACGGGAGGCAGCAGUGGGGAAUUUUGGACAAUGGGCGCAAGCCUGAUCCAGCAAUGCCGCGUGCAGGAUGAAGGCCUUCGGGUUGUAAACUGCUUUUGUACGGAACGAAAAGCCCUGGGUUAAUACCCUGGGGUCAUGACGGUACCGUAAGAAUAAGCACCGGCUAACUACGUGCCAGCCGCCGCGGUAAUAC
rnacentral:rRNA from 1 species